CUAAGAAUCUUGCGCAAUGGGCGAAAGCCUGACGCAGCAAUUCCGCGUGGGGGACGAAGGCCCUCGGGUCGUAAACCCCUUUUGUGAGGGAAGAAGUUCUGACGGUACCUCACGAAUAAGACGCGGCUAACUACGUGCCAGCAGCCGCGGUAAUACGUAGGUGUCGAGCGUUGUCCGGAUUUAUUGGGCGUAAAGAGCCCGCAGGCGGCUUGGUAAGUUCGAGGUGAAAUCUCCCGGCUCAACUGGGAGGGUGCCUCGAAAACUAUCAGGCUUGAGGCAGGGAGAGGGAUGUGGAAUUCCAGGUGUAGUGGUGAAAUGCGUAGAUAUCGGGAGGAACACCAGUGGCGAAGGCGGCAUCCUGGCCCUGUCCUGACGCUCAGGGGCGAAAGCGUGGGGAGCAAACC
rnacentral:rRNA from 1 species